rnacentral:rRNA from 1 species
CAGCAGCAGCCGCGGUAAUACAGAGGGUGCGAGCGUUAAUCGGAUUUACUGGGCGUAAAGCGUGCGUAGGCGGCUUCUUAAGUCGGAUGUGAAAUCCCUGAGCUUAACUUAGGAAUUGCAUUCGAUACUGGGAAGCUAGAGUAUGGGAGAGGAUGGUAGAAUUCCAGGUGUAGCGGUGAAAUGCGUAGAGAUCUGGAGGAAUACCGAUGGCGAAGGCAGCCAUCUGGCCUAAUACUGACGCUGAGGUACGAAAGCAUGGGGAGCAAACAGGAUUAGAUACCCCCGUAGUCCCUGUCUCUUAUAA